GAGCUGUUACUGAACUAUAGAAGAGAGAGGAACUUCCAUAUUCAGCAGAGUUCAAUACACAGACCAUAAACUUUCCCUUUAUUCAACAUGCUGUCAUUAGACUAUAAUCUACUGUCUCUACUGUUUGUCUCUACUCUAACAGGUGUCAGCUGUGAACAACUGACUCCAGUCAAGGAUGAAGAGUUCAGUUCAGAAGGCAGCUCUGUUACUCUGUCCUACACAUACUCCAAAAAAGCUGCUACUGAUUAUUUCUACUGGUAUCGACAACAUCCAGGAAAACCACCACAGUUCCUCAUCUCUCAUCUGGCAUCAGGACAACUAUCAUCAGAUCCAGUCUCUGGACUGACUGUUACUGUGAGUCGGGAUCAAACCCAAAUGGAUCUGCAGAUCUCCUCUGCUGCAGUGACAGACUCUGCUGUGUACUACUGUGCUGUGAGGCCCACAGUGACAGGAAACAGCACAACUCUGUACAAAAACACAAGCUGACUCACUGACAAGCUGCUGGAAGCCUUUUUUCCAACAAAGUGCUGAACUCAACUUUU